GACGAACGCUGGCGGCGCGCCUAACACAUGCAAGUCGAACGAGCGAGAGAGAGCUUGCUUUCUCAAGCGAGUGGCGAACGGGUGAGUAACGCGUGAGGAACCUGCCUCAAAGAGGGGGACAACAGUUGGAAACGACUGCUAAUACCGCAUAAGCCCACGACCCGGCAUCGGGUAGAGGGAAAAGGAGCAAUCCGCUUUGAGAUGGCCUCGCGUCCGAUUAGCUAGUUGGUGAGGUAAUGGCCCACCAAGGCGACGAUCGGUAGCCGGACUGAGAGGUUGAACGGCCACAUUGGGACUGAGACACGGCCCAGACUCCUACGGGAGGCAGCAGUGGGGAAUAUUGCACAAUGGGGGAAACCCUGAUGCAGCGACGCCGCGUGGAGGAAGAAGGUCUUCGGAUUGUAAACUCCUGUUGUUGAGGAAGAUAAUGACGGUACUCAACAAGGAAGUGACGGCUAACUACGUGCCAGCAGCCGCGGUAAAACGUAGGUCACAGGCGUUGUCCGGAAUUACUGGGUGUAAAGGGAGCGCAGGCGGGAAGACAAGUUGGAAGUGAAAUCCAUGGGCUCAACCCAUGAACUGCUUUCAAAACUGUUUUUCUUGAGUAGUGCAGAGGUAGGCGGAAUUCCCGGUGUAGCGGUGGAAUGCGUAGAUAUCGGGAGGAACACCAGUGGCGAAGGCGGCCUACUGGGCACCAACUGACGCUGAGGCUCGAAAGUGUGGGUAGCAAACAGGAUUAGAUACCCUGGAAGUCCACACUGUAAACGAUGAUUAAGUGGGUGUUGGAGGAUUGACCCCUUCAGUGCCGCAGUUAACACAAUAAGUAAUCCACCUGGGGAGUACGACCGCAAGGUUGAAACUCAAAGGAAUUGACGGGGGCCCGCACAAGCAGUGGAGUAUGUGGUUUAAUUCGACGCAACGCGAAGAACCUUACCAAGUCUUGACAUCCUGCGACGAUGCUGGAAACAGUAUUUUCCUUCGGGACGCAGAGACAGGUGGUGCAUGGUUGUCGUCAGCUCGUGUCGUGAGAUGUUGGGUUAAGUCCCGCAACGAGCGCAACCCUUAUGGUCAGUUACUACGCAAGAGGACUCUGGCCAGACUGCCGUUGACAAAACGGAGGAAGGUGGGGAUGACGUCAAAUCAUCAUGCCCUUUAUGACUUGGGCUACACACGUACUACAAUGGCGUUAAACAAAGAGAAGCAAGACCGCGAGGUGGAGCAAAACUCAGAAACAACGUCCCAGUUCGGACUGCAGGCUGCAACUCGCCUGCACGAAGUCGGAAUUGCUAGUAAUCGCAGAUCAGCAUGCUGCGGUGAAUACGUUCCCGGGCCUUGUACA
rnacentral:rRNA from 1 species